GACCCACAGUAAAGUGGGA
rnacentral:snRNA from 1 species